rnacentral:rRNA from 1 species
AUUGAACGCUGGCGGCAGGCCUAACACAUGCAAGUCGAGCGGAUGAAGGGAGCUUGCUCCUGGAUUCAGCGGCGGACGGGUGAGUAAUGCCUAGGAAUCUGCCUGGUAGUGGGGGAUAACGUCCGGAAACGGGCGCUAAUACCGCAUACGUCCUGCGGGAGAAAGUGGGGGAUCUUCGGACCUCACGCUAUCAGAUGAGCCUAGGUCGGAUUAGCUAGUUGGUGGGGUAAAGGCCUACCAAGGCGACGAUCCGUAACUGGUCUGAGAGGAUGAUCAGUCACACUGGAACUGAGACACGGUCCAGACUCCUACGGGAGGCAGCAGUGGGGAAUAUUGGACAAUGGGCGAAAGCCUGAUCCAGCCAUGCCGCGUGUGUGAAGAAGGUCUUCGGAUUGUAAAGCACGUUAAGUUGGGAGGAAGGGCAGUAAGUUAAUACCUUGCUGGUUUGACGUUACCAACAGAAUAAGCACCGGCUAACUUCGUG